GCAAGUCGAACGGCAGCACGAAGAGCUUGCUCUUUGGUGGCGAGUGGCGGACGGGUGAGUAAUACUUAGGAAUCUAUCCAGUAGUUGGGGAUAACCCGGAGAAAUCCGGGCUAAUACCGAAUACGCACUACGGUGGAAAGAGGGGGAUCUUCGGACCUCUCACUAUUGGGUGAGCCUAAGCCGGAUUAGCUGGUUGGUGGGGUAAUGGCCUACCAAGGCUACGAUGGUUAGCUGGUCUGAGAGGAUGAUC
rnacentral:rRNA from 1 species